UGAAAUGAAGCCUUUAUGCUACAUUGUAUAUGUAUAUGUAUAUGAAUAUUAUACCUAUUUGUAUUUGUUUUUAUUUCAGCUUGAUUCCAAUCUUUGGCAAUGGCUAAUACAAGAAGAGGCAAGGCAUACAUGUACAUGUAUAUGUACAAUACAUGAUUCUCUGUAGCAAUUGGAUUGUCUAUUCACCCCUUUAGUUCAACAAAAACAAUGAAACUCUAGACUACUACAUGUAUGAUGUUAUGAAGAUAUUUACAUAUAUCUACAUGUACAUGUACAUAUUUGAUCAGUUUUGAAGAUUAUUUAUGCCAGGUCUAAUCAUGUCGACUAGUACAACAAGUUUUGAUUCAGCUUUCUGACAGGAAUUAUUUAUAAACUUGCAAGCAGUUAUAACAAAUGAAUAUUAUUAAUUGAGUUAAAAAUUAAGCUCAAUUGGUGAAAUUGGACAGUGAAGUGAUUUUGACGCGUAUUGAAGUAGACAUUUCGAAAUUGAUAUUGAAUUAUGUGUAAAUGCAGCAAUGAUUUAUUUAAGAAAUUAAGAAUAUAGAAAUAUUAAAAAAAGAUGGAC
rnacentral:lncRNA from 1 species